rnacentral:piRNA from 1 species
UGACCUAGCUGAGGAUGACCCUGAA